UACGUAGGGGCUAGCGUUAUCCGGAAUUGCUGGGCGUAAAGGGUGCGUAGGCGGUCUUUCAAGCCAGAAGUGAAAGGCUACGGCUCAACCGUAGUAAGCCUUUGAAACUGGGAAACUUGAGUGCAGGAGAGGAGAGUGGAAUUCCUAGUGUAGCGGUGAAAUGCGUAGAUAUUAGGAGGAACACCAGUUGCGAAGGCGGCUCUCUGGACUGUAACUGACACUGAGGCACGAAAGCGUGGGGAGCAAACAGGAUUAGAUACCCUGGUAGUCCCU
rnacentral:rRNA from 1 species